CCAGACUCCUACGGGAGGCAGCAGUGGGGGAUAUUGCACAAUGGGGGGAACCCUGAUGCAGCGACGCCGCGUGGGUGAAGGAGUAUUUCGGUAUGUAAAGCCCUAUCGGCAGGGAAGAAGCAAGACGGUACCUGACUAAGAAGCCCCGGCUAACUACGUGCCAGCAGCCGCGGUAAUACGUAGGGGGCGAGCGUUAUCCGGAUUCACUGGGUGUAAAGGGAGCGUAGACGGCCAAGCAAGCCAGGGGUGAAAGCCCGGGGCCCAACCCCGGGACUGCUCUGGAAACUGUGCGGCUUGAGUGCGGGAGGGGCAGGCGGAAUUCCUAGUGUAGCGGUGAAAUGCGUAGAUAUUAGGAGGAACACCGGCGGCGAAGGCGGCCUGCUGGACCGUAACUGACGUUGAGGCUCGAAAGCGUGGGGAGCAAACAGGAUUAGAUACCCUGGUAAAG
rnacentral:rRNA from 1 species